UGAGUCAGCGAGUUGUCCGUCGUGGCGAGGUUAAGCCGACAGGUGUAGCCGCAGGAAACCGAGUCUCAACAGGGCGUUGAGUCGCGGCGGACAGACCCGAAACCAGGUGAGCUACCCAUGGCCAGGGUGAAACGUUGGUAAUACUUCGUGGAGGCCCGAACUCACUGAUGUUGAAAAAUCAGGGGAUGAGCUGUGGGUAGGAGUGAAAGGCUAACCAAACCUGGAAAUAGCUGGUUCUCCCCGAAAUGUAUUGAGGUACAGCCUCGGAUAUAGCACCGAUGGAGGUAGAGCACUGGAUGGGCUAGGGGGCUAUCAAGUCUACCAAACCCAACCAAACUCCGAAUUCCGUUGAGUGACGUCCGGGAGUGAGACGGCGGGGAGAUAAGUUUCGUCGUCGAGAGGGAAAGAGCCCAGACUGCCAGCUAAGGUCCCUAAAUGUACGCUAAGUGGUCAAGGAUGUGGAAGAACUUAGACAACCAGGAGGUUGGCUUAGAAGCAGCCAUCCUUUAAAGAAAGCG
rnacentral:rRNA from 1 species